rnacentral:misc_RNA from 1 species
GCUGCGUCGAGCACGUCCGAUCCCCUACCAGGGGAUUGGACCGUUCGAUGAUGCGUGACAACCGCGAUGGCGAAGCAAAGGUGCUCCGAGCUCUUGUUUUCAGAGUCGUGCCGUCGCCGGCGAGGUCAGUUCGUUGUUGGUGCCAUGCGUGUCUGGCGGGGCAUGCCCGGGGGUGCGGAUCUUCGUUUUGCUGCACGCGACUAUUCGCGGAACGCGGAGCGACGGCUUGUGCUCUACGGCAUCGCGUACGUGAUGACGCGUGAGUGGUGAUUGGCGCGUGUCGGCAUGUCGGAUCCCUGCUCUGGCAGCGACGACAUCCCGGCCGCACCCCUUCAAUCGUUGGCACAAGUGCGCCUUAGCCUUGUCCUCCGUCGGCUUCCUGUGUUCAAUACCUAUCACGAAGGCAUUUCGCCGGCAAGUUGUCCCUUUUUCGCCCCGUGCUGCCGCACCGUCCGGUGUUGCGGCGCGGGGUGGAACCGAAAGCAAAUUCCGUGUUCCUCUCUCGAGCACCGGUACAAGAGUGCUCGGGUUGCGGGCCCACGGCGUAAUGCUCGAUCUCUCGGAUGCGGAACAUCGGGUGGGCACGGGGUCUCGUCCUCUAUCUGCCCCACGAAGAAAAGCGUUCCGCGCUACGAGCGAACGACGGUCGUAUCGGUUGUGAUCGAGUCCUCAUGGAUUGGGUCAUGUCGAGCCGACGUCGACGAGGAA